rnacentral:rRNA from 1 species
GUGAGGAAUAUUGGUCAAUGGCCGAGAGGCUGAACCAGCCAUGCCGCGUGCGGGAGGACGGCCCUAUGGGUUGUAAACCGCUUUUGUUGGGGAGCAAUAAGUGCCACGUGUGGCGCGAUGAGAGUACCCAGCGAAUAAGCAUCGGCUAACUCCGUGCCAGCAGCCGCGGUAAUACGGAGGAUGCGAGCGUUAUCCGGAUUUAUUGGGUUUAAAGGGUGCGUAGGCGGGUUCUUAAGCGUGAGGUGAAAUGCCACGGCUCAACCGUGGAACUGCCUCGCGAACUGGGAGUCUGGAAUGCCCCUGCCGUGGGAGGAAUGUGUGGUGUAGCGGUGAAAUGCAUAGAGAUCACACAGAACACCGAUUGCGAAGGCAUCUCACGAAGGGGUGAUUGACGCUGAGGCACGAAAGCGUGGGGAUCAAACAGG